UACGUAGGGGGCAAGCGUUGUCCGGAUUUAUUGGGCGUAAAGAGCUCGUAGGUGGUUCGGUAAGUCGGAUGUGAAAUCUCCAGGCUCAACCUGGAGGGGUCAUUCGAUACUGCCGUGACUAGAGGUCGGUAGGGGAGUGUGGAAUUCCUGGUGGAGCGGUGAAAUGCGCAGAUAUCAGGAGGAACACCCGUAGCGAAGGCGGCACUCUGGGCCGAUACUGACACUGAGGUGCGAAAGCGUGGGGAGCAAACAGG
rnacentral:rRNA from 1 species